rnacentral:lncRNA from 1 species
CUUUUGAGAAGUGUCUGUUCAAGAUAUGGAUUCUUAAGAGCAAUGUCUGGUUUUGACUUUUCGACUGUAGUUUUUUAUCCCCCUUUCUCAGGAAGCUUUGAGUCUUAGAAUGUUGCCUAUAAAGAGAAUUUGGGAUCAUUAAAAUUGAUUUACUGAAUGGUUUUCAUGAUCAUAACCAGAUAUAUGGUGCCCAAGGACAGAAGAAGAAAUUAGCCCUUGUUCAUACCAAAGCCACUUACACGCAUAAAUCUAAAGGAAAAAACGAUCAUUUUGGAUAAAAAAUGAUGCACAAAAAGUUAUAGAAUAUAAAUGCAAAGUAGCCCGGGUUUAUGUUAUGCUUGGGGAAAGAAAAGGAAAACCCAAGUUUAAGAUUGUAAAUGGAUGGAGCAUGUGGCUUGGAAAAUGUCCUCUCUUCUCCUGUUACUGACACCUACUGUGUGCCUGGUACCGAACCAAGCACUUACACACAGAAUCAACUUUUACCCAUACAAAUCCCUGCUUGAUGGGAAUUACCAUUUCCAUUUUACAGCUGAGGACACUGAAAUUCAGCAUAUUUAUGCCAGUGGCCCCAAGUUCCUACAGUUAGGAAGUGGCAGAGGCAGGAUUUGAACCCUUGUCUCCCUGGUGUCAAAGCUACAGUUCUGGGUCCCAGUUGUAAUCUCUCAAAACAUGGGGCAAAAAGCCCAAAGCCUGGACUUCACACUUAGUCCCAGCAGUCAGCCCAAGGCUCUUAAAAUUCCUUCUUGCCAAGAUCAGCACUGGCUCCAAAGUCCAGGGAGGGCUGGGCUUUUUUGUUGGGGGUCAAAGGAUCAAUGGGAAGACUCCACCUUGGCGGGAUGUGCAGGUGAAGUGCUCCAGCUCUGAGGACGAAUCCUGGAAGAGAAAACCUGAUCCCAGGGCAUGAAGAAGGAGGAAAAGGAUGCAGGAAAGAAUUUAAGAGGCAAAGUGGAUGUGAUAAAGGAACGAGAAGAUCAUGAGAAAAGAUGAAAAAGAGAACAGUGACUGACCCAUGUCAUGAAGCAUCAGUUUCUAAACUUUGCUGUAUGCAGGCUCAAUGGUUGGAAUAAAUGCAGAUGCUGCAAAUUGAUGGAGGCCUGGUGUCUUCCAGAGUGGAGGUAAAGGCUGGCUGAGGAAUCAGUGAGGCCAGGAAGAGGGCUCAGCUGAGCAACUGAUCAAAGCAUCCCUCUUCAGGAAGGAGCUUCCUGUGUUUUCUCUGGGAACUCACCUGUUUUCCACUCCAGACUCUCCAAGAUAUGCAGAGCUUUGGGCCAGGAUCCUACAGCCACGGGUCAUGCAGAGCCAGUUGGCCACAUCCUUUGGGAUGAGCAUCUCAGCAUCUCAGAGGUGAAGAAACUGGCCUAGCCACCACGUGGUGGCACUUGCAGCCUGAGUCAGCAGAUCCCCAGGCAAAUGAAGACUCUGAGAUGAAGACAGCUGAGCGCAUGAUGGGGUAGGUCAGCCUCCCUCAUGGAAAUUCUGUGUGCCUGAGGCCCACCCUUCCAGUGCAGAUGGAGGGAUGGGAUGGAAAUGAAUCUAGGGGAACGCAUCCCAGCUGUGAUCCAGCCACCUCUGCGUUUGAAGGCUGGGGGUUAUUCCCUCCUCAUGGUUGCCACGCAUUCUUAUGUUUGCAUGUCAUGCUUGGAACUGCCGCAGCCACUUUGUGACAGCCUGAGAAUGAAUCCAGCGCUAAAAUCAGUCUAGCAAAAGGAGGAGAAACACCUGGGUCUCCAUGAUGUCACUGAGCAAGUGAAUUGACCAGCUGUGAGAUGAUCCAGAACUGAGAUCCAGAGCCACAAAGGGCUUGUGCCAGACCUAAGUGAGAUGCAGAGUCGGCCUUAAACCCAAUUCUCAUGAUCAGUGGUGAUUGUGGUGAUGAUGAUGAUGAUGGUGAUUCUGGGGAUGAUGAUGAUAAUGGAUUUUUCUUCACAGUGUCUAGCAGUAUUCCUGGCACAUAAUAUGCAUGGACCUAUGCUGGAACUAAAUGAUUUAAUAUCCAUAAAGGGUCCUAUGAGGCAAGCUCCAGAGACACAGAGGAAGGCCAUACAGCAAUAGCAUGAAACACAGCUUUGAGGUCCUGGGGCCAGGGAAGGGCACAAGGUGUGGCUGAGGGGAUGCUCAUGUGUGCUUCCCUGCUCUUUCCUCAGGAAGGUUUCCCUGUUUGGAGCAGCCGCCACAUGCCAUGGCUUCUUUCUCUGCCUUUUGCUUUGAUUAAUUGCACCUUUCAUGAUUCAUAUCGCAUAAUUGCCUUCCAAAUGGGUUAUUCCUGGGUGGUAACCUUAUGGGGGUAGGUUUGUGGGUCUCUGGAGCAUCUUAAGUAUGAUGUUGCAGUCAUAACUAAAUGAGGCAUGAUCUCUUGAUGGCACAAGACAUGCAGGGAGGGUAUACCUUGUCUCUAAAUCAGCGCUAUUCCGUAGAACUUUCUCUGCUGAAGGAAAUAUGCUGUAUCUGCACCAUCCAAUAUGGAAGCCACUAGCCACAUGUUGCUAUUGAACACUUCAAAUGUGGCUAGUGCAACUUGUAACUGAGUUCUUAAUUUUAUUGAAUUCAAAUUAAUUCAACUGUAUGUGUAAGUAGCCACCUAGGAUAGUCUUGUGGCUACCAAAUUCGACAGUGCCGUCUCUAGAGUAAUCAAAAAUCUUAGGAUUCAGCAGGAUGAAGUUCGAAUGCCACUACAGUCACUCAGUGCCUGCAUGACCUUGGACGUGUCAGUUAAGCUCUCUGAGCUUCAGUGUUCUCUUCCAUAAAAUAGGUUUAGUAAUUUCUUUUCCUUGUAGUUGUUGUAACGAUUUCAUAGUAUACCAUGUGUUUACUGUCUAGAACAGUGUCAGGUGCAUAAAAUGGAAACCCAUUAAGUUGAAAGCUAUUAAUACUAUGUGUCCACUUGGAGAUCCAAACCACAUCUUACAGAUAGGAAACUUCAGUGGCAACAUUUCCUUCUUGUGAGGGGGGAAUAAAAGGGAAUCUAGGACCAAGUUACCUGAGAUUUAUGCAUCCAGCAUUACCCUCAUUCCUAUUGAUAUUAUGGAGAGAAGCUUACAGGAAAAUGUUCACCUACUUAGAAUAUAUGUUAUAGAGUGUGUUGAGGUCCAGGAAGCUGCUGUGGUUAGAAUGUACCUUAGGGACAUUCUGGGGGGUGGGUCACCAGUUCUGCUCUCAUAUUCUUGACCAGGCUUUGUGCCAGGUCAUGUAGCUCCCAGAAUGCAUCUUCUGGGUCUGGAGCUCCAUGGUAUUCUUCUACUUGGAAUAUUAUCCUGCACUCAAAACAGCACCCUUUUGUCUGCCUUACUAAUUUGCUCUCCUCUUGGACAUUCCUAUGGCAUCAUUCAGACAUUGUUCCUCUUGGAGUCUUCAGUUACCUCUUCUCUGUGCCCCUUGAACAAACCUUUGUUGCAGCACCAUUGGGAGGUCUGCAUGCCCAACUUCCUAUAAAAGGGUUAUAUCUUUCAAUCUCUAGAAAUUCUCAGAGCCUAGUACACAACCUGGUAUGUAACAGGAUCUAUAAAUGUUUAACAAGACAAUAAUAAUAACAACAAAGAUGAUAAUGUGGUGGUGAUGAUGGUGGUGAUGGCGGCAAUGAGGAUGAUGG